rnacentral:rRNA from 1 species
CCUACGGGCGGCAGCAGUGAGGAAUAUUGGUCAAUGGGCUUACGCCUGAACCAGCCAAGUCGCGUGAGGGAAGACUGCCCUAUGGGUUGUAAACCUCUUUUGUCAGGGAGCAACGCCGGCUACGUGUAGCCGGACUGAGAGUACCUGAAGAAAAAGCAUCGGCUAACUCCGUGCCAGCAGCCGGGGUAAUACGGAGGAUGCGAGCGUUAGCCGGAUUUAUUGGGUUUAAAGGGUGCGUAGGCGGAAUGCCAAGUCAGCGGUAAAAUCGAGGGGCUCAACCUCGCUCCGCCGUUGAAACUGGCGGUCUUGAGUGGGCGAGAAGUAUGCGGAAUGCGUGGUGUAGCGGUGAAAUGCAUAGAUAUCACGCAGAACUCCGAUUGCGAAGGCAGCAUACCGGCGCCCAACUGACGCUGAAGCACGAAAGCGUGGGUAUCGAACAGGAUUAGAUACCCUGGUAGUC